rnacentral:ncRNA from 1 species
UAUCUUCAGGGCGGGGUGUAAAUCCCCACCGGCGGUAAAGCCCGCGAGCAAUUUUGCAGAUCUGGUGUAAUUCCAGAGCCGACAGUAUAGUCUGGAUGAAAGAAGAUA